CCCUUAGAGUUUGAUCCUGGCUCAGAACGAACGCUGGCGGCAGGCCUAACACAUGCAAGUCGAGCGAGACCUUCGGGUCUAGCGGCGGACGGGUUAGUAACGCGUGGGAACGUGCCCUUCUCUGCGGAAUAGCCACUGGAAACGGUGAGUAAUACCGCAUACGCCCUUCGGGGGAAAGAUUUAUCGGAGAAGGAUCGGCCCGCGUUAGAUUAGAUAGUUGGUGGGGUAAUGGCCUACCAAGUCUACGAUCUAUAGCUGGUUUUAGAGGAUGAUCAGCAACACUGGGACUGAGACACGGCCCAGACUCCUACGGGAGGCAGCAGUGGGGAAUCUUAGACAAUGGGCGCAAGCCUGAUCUAGCCAUGCCGCGUGUGUGAUGAAGGUCUUAGGAUCGUAAAGCACUUUCGCCAGGGAUGAUAAUGACAGUACCUGGUAAAGAAACCCCGGCUAACUCCGUGCCAGCAGCCGCGGUAAUACGGAGGGGGUUAGCGUUGUUCGGAAUUACUGGGCGUAAAGCGUACGUAGGCGGAUCAGAAAGUUGGGGGUGAAAUCCCGGGGCUCAACCCCGGAACUGCCUCCAAAACUCCUGGUCUUGAGUUCGAGAGAGGUGAGUGGAAUUCCAAGUGUAGAGGUGAAAUUCGUAGAUAUUUGGAGGAACACCAGUGGCGAAGGCGGCUCACUGGCUCGAUACUGACG
rnacentral:rRNA from 1 species